rnacentral:tRNA from 1 species
GCCGGGGUGGCGGAAUUGGUAGACGCAGCGGAUUCAAAAUCCGCCGCUGGUAACAGUGUGCGAGUUCGAGUCUCGCCCUCGGCACUA